CCUACGGGCGGCAGCAGUGAGGAAUAUUGGUCAAUGGACGAGAGUCUGAACCAGCCAAGUAGCGUGAAGGAUGACUGCCCUAUGGGUUGUAAACUUCUUUUAUAUGGGAAUAAAAUGUUCCACGUGUGGGAUUUUGUAUGUACCAUAUGAAUAAGGAUCGGCUAACUCCGUGCCAGCAGCCGCGGUAAUACGGAGGAUCCGAGCGUUAUCCGGAUUUAUUGGGUUUAAAGGGAGCGUAGGUGGAUUGUUAAGUCAGUUGUGAAAGUUUGCGGCUCAACCGUAAAAUUGCAGUUGAAACUGGCAGUCUUGAGUACAGUAGAGGUGGGCGGAAUUCGUGGUGUAGCGGUGAAAUGCUUAGAUAUCACGAAGAACUCCGAUUGCGAAGGCAGUUCACUGGACUGCAACUGACACUGAGGCUCGAAAGUGUGGGUAUCAAACAGGAUGAGAUACCCCAGUAGUC
rnacentral:rRNA from 1 species